UACGUAGGGGGCAAGCGUUGUCCGGAAUUAUUGGGCGUAAAGAGCGUGUAGGCGGUCCGGUAAGUCAGCUGUGAAAGUCAAGGGCUCAACCCUUGAAAGCCGGUUGAUACUGUCGGGCUAGAGUCCGGAAGAGGCGAGUGGAAUUCCCGGUGUAGCGGUGAAAUGCGCAGAUAUCGGGAGGAACACCAAUGGCGAAGGCAGCUCGCUGGGACGGUACUGACGCUGAGAAGCGAAAAGCAUGGGGGAGCGAACAGG
rnacentral:rRNA from 1 species